GGGGGAUUAGCUCAGAUGGAAGAGCGCCGCGCUGGCAGCGCGGAAGUCAGGGGUUCAAGUCCCCUAUUCUCCACCA
rnacentral:tRNA from 1 species